AACGUAGGACGCGAGCGUUAUCCGGAGUUACUGGGCGUAAAGCGCGGGCAGGCGGUCUGACAAGUCUGAUGUGAAAUCUCCGGGCUUAACCGGGAGAGGCCAUUGGAAACUGACAGGCUGGAGGGCAGUAGAGGUAGGCGGAAUUCCGGGUGGAGUGGUGAAAUGCGUAGAGAUCCGGAGGAACACCAGAGGCGAAGGCGGCCUACUGGGCUGCACCUGACGCUGAGCCCGCGAAAGCCAGGGGAGCGAACGGG
rnacentral:rRNA from 1 species